rnacentral:rRNA from 1 species
AACGAACGCUGGCGGCAGGCCUAACACAUGCAAGUCGAGCGAGGACUUCGGUCCUAGCGGCGGACGGGUGAGUAACGCGUGGGAACGUGCCCUUUGCUACGGAAUAGCCCCGGGAAACUGGGAGGAAUACCGUAUGUGCCCUUCGGGGGAAAGAUUUAUCGGCAAAGGAUCGGCCCGCGUUGGAUUAGGUAGUUGGUGGGGUAAUGGCCUACCAAGCCGACGAUCCAUAGCUGGUUUGAGAGGAUGAUCAGCCACACUGGGACUGAGACACGGCCCAGACUCCUACGGGAGGCAGCAGUGGGGAAUCUUAGACAAUGGGGGAAACCCUGAUCUAGCCAUGCCGCGUGAGCGUUGAAGGCCUUAGGGUUGUAAAGCUCUUUCAGUGGGGAAGAUAAUGACGGUACCCACAGAAGAAGCCCCGGCUAACUCCGUGCCAGCCGCCGCGGUAAUAC